GUCCGGAAAUACUUGUCAUCAAAAUGAACAAAAGGGGACGUAUCUAGACGUAUUUUAGUUCUAGAUACAUCCCCUUUUAUCCAUUUUGAUGACAAGUAUUUUCGGAC
rnacentral:pre_miRNA from 1 species